CAGCCCACCACGAAAAUGCUCCCUGACGAGUUGAACCUUGGGCUGGGCUGGGCGUAUAGGCAGGCCUGCGUCGCCCAGUUGAAAAUCAUCGAAAGAUCCCCAAUCCCGCAGCUCUUCAUCUCUCAAUCCCUCCCUUGCUGGAUAGCGCCGCCAAUGCCACCGCUACGUUCCUCCUAUCGAUCGCCGCCGCCCUCGUUGGAAGCUCGGGUCAGAUUUCCCCUCUUUUGCUCAAUGGAGAUGGCGGCUGGCCUCCCCGUUACCGAAGACCUCGUCGUCGACAUCCUCUCCCGCCUCCCCAUCAAGUCGCUUUGCCGCUCCAAAGGGGUCUCACGGGCCUGGCGCGACCUCAUCUCCCACCCCGACAACCGCAGCAAGUUCCCCCACACCCUGGUCGGCUUCUUCCACAGCAGCUUCUGCUGCGAGCGUUUCCCGGUUUCAGCUCUCCACUUCAUCAAUAUUUCGGGGAAAGGACGGCCCGUCAUCUCGCCCUCUUUCGCCUUCUUGCCCAAGCACGAAAGCAUCGUCCUCUUGGACUGCUGCAACGGCCUCCUCCUAUGCCACCUCCAGGCCCAGGGCGCUGCCCGCUACGUCGUGUGCAACCCCACCACCAAGAAGUGGGCCAUGUUGCCAGACUCCGGCCUGGCCGUGGCCGACAAGAUGUCUGUUGCGCGGUUGGGUUUUGAUCCGGCAGUGUCGUCCCACUUCCAUGUGUUCGAGUUCUUGGAAGAAGGCAGUGAGGACAUGGUUGUUGCAUUGGAGGUGUAUUCCUCUGAAACAGGAGGAUGGGUUCAUAAGCAGAUUGGAUGGGCUGAUGCUAUUAGUUUUCUUGAUCCAGAGUCCGCGACUGUCUUUCUUAACGGCAGUCUGCAUUUUGUCAGCCUUGUGCCUGCUAUAGCUGUGGUGGACACAGAGGGGGAAACAUGGAGGAUCAUACCUGUUUGUGAUAUUGAGGACGACCGUCUACUCCCGGAUUUGGGUUUCGUUCAGCAGUCCCAAGGCUGCUUGCACUAUGCCAAUUUUGAGAGACAUGGUGCUAGGUUUCGACUAGUUGUUUAUGUUCUUGAGGCCUAUGGCAGCCAAGAAUGGAAACUGAAACAUAGUGCUGAAGCUUCAUCGAUAUUUCAAGGGAGAACAAGUGUUGACCUUAUGUGGAGCUUUAAGUGGAUGUCAAUUCAUCCAGAGUGUAACUUGAUCUUCUUCAUUGCAGGGUGGGAUAACACAUUGAUGUCCUAUGAUAUGGACCGUCAGCAAGUCCAUGUGAUCCGCAUUCUUGGACAUGACGUUGAGUCCCAGUAUCUGCCCUAUAUCCCAUUGUACUCAGAGCUACCGGAACUGCACAUCUGACAGCAAUAUGAAAUUAGAGCCUAUAACAAUCGGAUCUUCAGUACAAGUCACUUUGUUCUUGCUAUGGAGCAGCUGGCUUGGCAUGUCUGCUUAAUUUUCUUACUGUUUUCUGUGCUUAGUGCUCAGAUGUGUGCUUCUUGUUUGGGGAUAAUGCUGGUUCAUUAUGGAGCCAACGUUUUGUUUUAUGUAUUUGUGGCAAGAGAACUGCUACCUGUACGAUGGAAAAGUCAAUCUGUUGUACAAUGGUUCUACGGAGUACUCCCUCCAAUCCGAACUAAAACCACGACAAGAAUUUAGGAUCGGAGGAAGCUUAUUUAAGAAGAGAUAUUGUGAUCAUUAUUGUGCAAGUCAGCAUCUUACGUUGGUUACUCUGCUGUUUGUGAUAUGCUAUGCAUGUCACACAUUUGCUAUACUUCAAUAAAGUGCCAGCGGAUAUACAACAAAGAGGAUGUUCCUUGGGUCGAUUUGGUACGGGAUGCCUACUAUACAGCUGAAGUUCCCCACGUGGCAAAGUCUUAUGGUUCCUUCUAGUGGAGGGAUGCUAUGAAAUUGUCUGAUAACUUUAGUGCAUUUCCCAAGUGCAGAGUUUCCCAUGGGGAAUUGGGGAUACAGCCCUGUUCUGGCAUGAUGUGUGGGAUGCUCAUCUCUUUCACUAUUCACAUAUAUUGUUGAAUAUACUCUUUUGUGAAGGAGAAAACAGUGCUCUUCUAUCAGUUUGUAUUCUCGGGAGAGUUAUGAUAAUUUUCAUCUUCCUCUCACUAUGGAAGCUAAUGAAGAAUGGGAACUGAUAAAGGGAUCCGUGCAAGCUCCGCCUGAUGCUGAAAUGGAUGAUACUUGGGAAUAUAUUUGGGGCUCUAAUAAGUAUGCUUCAAUAGCGUACUAUAACUGGAUUUUCAAGGUUUAUACUGCACCAAGGGCUUUUCAGUGCAUUUGGAAGAGCAAGUGUAGUUUAAAGCAUAAGUAUUUGCAUGGUUGCUGAUGGCGGAUUGCAUCAACGCCAGUGGCAGUGAUAUGCUCUUGAGAAGGCAUUUUCAAGUUCCUGAUUCGAACACUUGUGUAUCAUAUCAAACUGGUGCUCUUGAGGACUGGCAGCACUGUUCUUCAUUUGCCACUUCAGUGUGAGGGUGUGGAAUUACUUGCAAAUACAAUGGCCAGGUGUUGGGGACCUUUCGGAUAUCAUUCAAGCUGCAAGAAAUCAGUUGUGUGUAACUUUCUCUACAGAGAUAAUCCUUCUUGCUUGCUGAAAUAUAUGGAAAGUAUGUAAUGGCAAGAUCUUUGAAACAACUACGCCUACUUUUAGGGUCUCUUUGAUUCGAAGGACUUUGAAAGGAAUUUUGGAGGAUUCUAAUCCUCCUAGAAAUUUUCCUGCAUGGAUUAUUUGGUUCAUAGAAUUGCAGACCAUAGGAAUUUUUUCCUUGGGAUUUAUUUGCACUAGAUCUCAUAGGAAAAUUUCCAUCUACUCCAGCCUUUUGGAAAGAAUCCAAUGCUCUCCUGUGCAGAAUCGAAUAUCAUUUGAAUCCUGUAGUAUCCAAGAUGAGAUGCCACUUUGCAUUUUUCCUAUUUCUGCGUUUUGAGAAUUCUUCGAAUCAAAGAGGCCCAGGGUGGGAAGAGACAUUUUGUACAUGAUAGGUUGCACUUAGUUUUUAGAGUUAAGAAAGUAGGUCGUAGAAUUUUGCAAAUGUGGAUUAACUUUAUGUAAUAGGUUACAGUUGACUCUCUAAUUUAUUAAAUUACUGCAGGGAAAUCCCCUACAGUUCCUACUAAAAAA